CUAAGAGCGGGGACAUAGGCUGCAGUAUGAAUCUAAAAACACUUUACCUGCAUUUUCCAUUCAAUCGUUUGUGGGCUAAACCUAGAAUUGAAAAACAAUGAUACUUGAAACAUUGAUUGGAUUAACGUGUGAAAAUGUUGAAUACGGAGUACUACUUCACGUUUCCUCUGUAUUGGAAAUGUCCAGUUUUUACAUGCGUAAAUGUCAGCAAUGCACUCAGCACUGUAAUAACCCGAGAAAAUAGGUCCUAUUCUAGACUGAGGGGUGCAGGGAAUAGAACCCACCACCCUGGCAUUGCAAGUGCCAUGCUCUACCAACCGAGCCACACGGGACCCAGCCACUGAGGACUAAAGAACUUGAGACUACGUCCAAGAUGUCCGAACGUUGAUUUCAACAUGAUCUACUCAUGCGAUCGAUGGACCGUCUAUAUCCAGCUUGCAUUCGGUUUAGACGGCCCAACUUCACACUCAGUGCACACAGGGAGCAGCGCAAGCAGCGAUAACUUCAUCACGUUGUCCAAAAACAUGGUAGACAUUGGAUGAAUAUAAAAUGUUAAUAUCUUCGGCUGUUAGUGAUGGGAAAAAAUAGGCCUCAUCGACAGUUAUUUUAAUAAUUCAAAUGAUGUUUUGUACACAAAGAUGACUAAAGUGUCUUAGGAAUUUUCAAAUCCGACUUCUCUAUGCGGCUGUCUAUGGAAAUUGGCUUUAUGGGCCCAGCUUCAAUUAAACUGCAGUACUAAAGCAAGACUGUAGGAGCAGUCCAAACCGUCUAGACCAGAACCCUGGCCCAUUGGGGCCGGUCGUCACUUACCACAGCCACAAAGUAAUAAACCCUGCCUAUUUAGACAAUUUAACUUAUUAAAAAUGGGAUUGUACAUUUAACCCUAACCACACUGUUAACCCUAACUUUAAAUUAAGAUCAACAAGCUCAUUUUUGUUAUCAUGAAUUUUUACAAUGUGGCUGUGCUAUCUAGUGGAAACCCUUGGGUGCAGCUGCAUAAUGAUGCUUGAGGGCUGUGCAAACACUGCAGUAUCAAAGAUACCCCAAUAGGGGUAGUAGCAAUGCUACUUUGGUAUCUUACUGUUUCAUGCCACUGAGAAGAUGAAUGAACUGGCAUAGCUAAAAACAAACUUAAUAAAUUGGUAGAAAUAACACAUUGAGUCUGUAGUUGAACAUCCCUUUUUAGACUAGUGCUAUUGAAGAGUUCUUUCAAUUUUCAGUUGUCCCACACAACAUUGUUGUCAGGUGGAUGACAAGUGUCCUCUCACAAAGAAUGCUAGCUAGGCACAGUCAGCUAGGUAUGUUGCAGCAAGUGUGUCCUUGACAGCAGACGUCUGUCACUAGUCUGUGUUGGAUGACCCCAGUCAUAAACAAGACUGGCUAUUCUUUGUUAGGAUGCACGUCAGACGUCUUUAGCCAGGGCACAGGUGGUCUGGCUUGCCAGACUCUUAGACUAGGCCUAGGGCAUUGAACAAAAUACUCUAUCCCACUUUAAUCUCAUGGUUCUAAUUCUAAUCACCUAUUCUUAUGAAUAUGAAAAACACAGUGCCGCCGACGCGGCCCGCUACCAAAGACUGUGGGUUCUCCUUCUCCGUGGCCGACGUUUAAACGUGUUAACCCUCGCAAGGCUGCCUGCCCAGACCAGCUGGCUGGUGUGUUUACAGACAUAUUCAAUCUCUCCCUAUCCCAGUCUGCUCAAGAUGACCAACAUUGCUCCUGUACCCAAGAAGGCAAAGGUAACUGAACUAAAUGACUAUCGCCACGUAGCACUCACUUCUGUCAUCAUGAACUGCUUUGAGAGACUAGUCAAGGAUCAUAUCACCUCCACCUUACCUGUCACCCUAGACCCACUUCAAUUUCCUUAUCGCCCCAAUAGACCCACAGACGAUGCAAUCACCAUCACACUGCCCUAUCUCAUCUGCACAAGAGGAAUACCUAUGUAAGAAUGCUGUUUAUUGACUACAGCUCAGCAUUCAACACCAUAGUACCCUCCAAGCUCAUCAUUACGCUCUCGGAGUGUGGUGUCAGGAAAAUAACCUCUCACUCACCGUCAACAAAACAAAGGAGAUGAUUGUGGACUUCAGGAAACAGCAGAGGGAGCACCCCCCUAUCCACAUCGACGGGACAUUAGUGGAGAAGGUAGAAAGUUAUGUUCCUCGGUGUACACAUCACGGACAAACUAACAGUGUGGUGAAGGCGCAACCGCACCUCUUUAACCUCAGGAGGCUGAAGAAAUUUGGCUUGUCACCUAAAACCCUCAAACUUUUACAGAUGCACAAUUGAUAGCAUCCUGUUGGGUUGUAUCACCGCCUGCUACGGCAACUGCACAGCUCUCCAGAGGGUAGUGAGGUCUACACAACGCGUCACAGGGGACAAACUACCUGCUCUCCAGGACACCUACAGCACCCGAUGUCACAGGAAGGCCAAAAAGAUCAUCAAGGACAACAACCACCCGAGGCACUGCCUUACCACGCUACCAUCCAGAAGGUACAGUACAGGUGCAUCAAAGCUGGAACCGACUGAAAAACAGCUUCUAUCGCACAGCCAUCAGACUGUUAAACAACCAUCACCAGCAGAGGAUGCGGCCUACAUACAGACAUGAAAACAUUGGUCACUUUAAUGUUUAUAUAUCUUGCAUUACUCUUCUCAUAUGCAUAUACUGUCUUCUAUACUAUAUAUUGCAUCUUAGCCUAUGCCACUCGGUCAUUGCUCAUCCAUAUAUUUAUAUUUUCUUAUUCCAUUCCUUUACUUAGAUUUGUGUGUAUUAGGUAUCUGUUAUGGAAUUGUUAGAUAUUACUGCACUGUCAGAACUAGAAGCACAAGCAUUUCGCUACACUCACAAUAACAUCUGCUAACCAUGUUUAUGUGACCAAUAAAAUUUGAUUUGAUGACA